rnacentral:tRNA from 1 species
CCAACUGGUGCCGGACGGUAAGGCAGCGGUCUGUAAAACCGUUUUAAGUAGGUUCAACUCCUACCAGUUGGA